rnacentral:rRNA from 1 species
UACGUAGGGUGCAGGCGUUAAUCGGAAUUACUGGGCGUAAAGCGUGCGCAGGCGGUUUCUUAAGUCAGCUGUGAAAGCCCCGGGCUUAACCUGGGAACUGCGUUUGAAACUGGGAGACUUGAGUGUGGCAGAGGGGGGUGGAAUUCCACGUGUAGCAGUGAAAUGCGUAGAUAUGUGGAGGAACACCGAUGGCGAAGGCAGCGCCCUGGGGUAACACUGACGCUCAUGCACGAAAGCGUGGGGAGCAAACAGG